rnacentral:tRNA from 10 species
GGCGGUGUAGCUCAGUUGGUAGAGCAGCGGACUCAUAAGCCGCGGGUCCCCCGUUCAAUCCGGGGCACCGCCACCA